rnacentral:rRNA from 1 species
AUUGAACGCUGGCGGCAGGCCUAACACAUGCAAGUCGAACGAGUGGCGGACGGGUGAGUAAUGUCUGGGAAACUGCCUGAUGGAGGGGGAUAACUACUGGAAACGGUAGCUAAUACCGCAUACCAUCGGAUGUGCCCAGAUGGGAUUAGCUAGUCGGUGGGGUAAAGGCUCACCUAGGCGACGAUCCCUAGCUGGUCUGAGAGGAUGACCAGCAACAUCGGAACGGAGACACGGUCGAGACUCCAACGGGAGGCAGCAGGGGGGAAUAUUGCACAAGGGGCGAAAGCCUGAUGCAGCCAUGCCGAGUGGAUGAAGAAGGCCUUCGGGCUGUAAAGUACUUUCAGCGGGGAGGCGGUACCCGCAGAAGAAGCACAGGCUAACUCCGUGCCAGCAGCCGCGGUAAUUC